UCUGGCGCCUUCCGCCACGCAGGCCCCGCCUCUGUGUCGUCAUGGUGCUGAGAACACACGGCGGGUUCGGGGCGCGGCAGGCGCCGCGGCUACUUCUGGAGAGUGAAGCUGCACAGUGACUACUGCCUUUCGAAGCAGCGCCUCUUUCUCGCUGCCUCCAGCCUUUCUGGAAACAAAGGAUGUAUGGCAGAAUUACAGAGACGCAGAGGCAGAGGGAGAGAGAUUUCCCAUCCGCUGGUUCACUCCCCAGAUGGCCACAAUGGCUGGAGCUGUGCCGAUCUGAAGCCAGGAGCCAGGAGCAUCUUCUGGGUCUCCCACCUAUAACAAGAUACCAGAUGACUCCACACUAUUUAUUAGAAACUUGGCUGCCAUCAAGACUAAGUGCUACAGUCACUUGACCUCCACUGUGCUGCCUUCCACCUGCAUUUCAUCAUCUGGUGAUAAGGAUGAACAUGGAUGAACAGAAGGCCCAUAAAUGGAGCAGGAAGUAGAUGAUGCUGAGAUGUGGAGAAAUGGAAAGUGCCACAGACCAGGAAUGAAGAAAUUUGGAGUUGGAGUCCUUGGUUCCACUUACUAGGCCAUGGAACAAGUCACCUCACUGUUCUGAGUCUCAGUUUCCUCAUAUGG